rnacentral:lncRNA from 10 species
AAUGUUUAUCUUUGGAAACAACCAUUAUACUAGUACUACUUACAGUACUUAUUUAUCUAUUUAUUUAUUUAUUUUUACCGCUUUUCUCUUUCCCCUGCUCUCUUGUCUUCAUUUGCUCCUUGUCUUUAUGUCUUCCUUUCAGGCUCCUUUAGAAACCAUGUGCAGGUUGCCAACACCUUUGAGACCUUAGUGCUAAGGAAAGUGCGGCUUGAGCGGUUGUAAACACUAGAGAGCAGCAGAACCAAAUCCCAAGCAACCACUUCUUUCUAUUCACAGCAUCCAGGCGCUUUGUUAUGUUACAGCAUAAUUUGUAGAAUUUUCCCCUCCCAAAGACAUAAUUUGAGGUGAACUAUGACGUAGACAUUGAUGCCAUCACCGAUGUUUGGUUUCUUGUUCUGGGCACAAGAUAGGAUUGUACUUCUCGUCUGUUUGAACUCAGACUUACCAAACCAGAGUUUUCUUUCCUGCUACUCCCUCCCCCAUUGUGAGG